rnacentral:lncRNA from 1 species
CCCCAGGCAGCCAAGAAGCGAAACAUGCGAACUUAACCGCUGCGCCACCAGGCUGGCCCAUGGUUUCUUAACUUUUCUGAUUAGAGGCUGAGUCUGGAGUGCUGUAUGGCCCAGAAGAAAGCCUUGUCCAGGAGGCGGGACCUGAGGCAAAUCGACUAUGUUGUGGAAUCUUCCUUAGCUCCAAUUUUUCACAUGGGUAAAAUUAAGGCACAGAGGAUAUAGCAGUUAAUAACAAAUUCAAAGUCCCUGACCUCAGAGAGCGUUCAUUCUGGUGGGUGAGAAGAACAAUAAAGGAAUAAAUAUAUCUGUUAUGUGUGGCGGCCAUAAGAAUGCUCCUUGCAGAUCUCCAACAACAUAGCUACCGGAGGGGCCCAGUUCUGCGGCUCUUAGACCUGCAUCCCUGCAUUUGUCCACAGUCGGCUCCUAGCCGAUGACUGACCGUGACAGUGACAUGACGGCAGGCCUGUUUGUGGUGUACACGGAACCUCUCCUGCAG